rnacentral:rRNA from 1 species
UGGGGAAUAUUGGACAAUGGGCGAAAGCCUGAUCCAGCAAUGCCGCGUGAGUGAUGAAGGCCUUAGGGUUGUAAAGCUCUUUUACCCGGGAUGAUAAUGACAGUACCGGGAGAAUAAGCUCCGGCUAACUCCGUGCC